UACGGAGGGGGUUAGCGUUGUUCGGAAUUACUGGGCGUAAAGCGCACGUAGGCGGAUCAGAAAGUUGGGGGUGAAAUCCCGGGGCUUCAACCCCGGAACUGCCUCCAAAAACUCCUGGUCUUGAGUUCGAGAGAGGUGAGUGGAAUUCCGAGUGUAGAGGUGAAAUUCGUAGAUAUUCGGAAGGAACACCAGUGGCGAAGGCGGCUCACUGGCUCGAUACUGACGCUGAGGUGCGAAAGUGUGGGGAGCAAACAGGAAUUAGAGUACCCGCGUAAGUCC
rnacentral:rRNA from 1 species